rnacentral:lncRNA from 1 species
GUUAUUUUUGCAACUAAGAUUCGCGAUGGCAUAGGAAUAUUUCUAGGGAAUAUAUAGGGGUAAUAUGGGACAUUUUCCCUUCCAUUGGAUAUAUUGAUCAAAUUAAACCUGUCUAAUUUUGCGCCCGAAUUUAUUGUGAAUAGAACCGUCUGAUUUGGUUUCUGAUGUAUGAAGCGCGUCCUCUUUGCUCCGGCCUCCAUCCGUCCCGGCCAAUCCAUCCCCCAUCGAAUGGACUCCCCGCGGCGUCCCCUCCUCCGUCAUCGACGAGCACCUCGAGAACGUCUUCCGGCGUGGGUGAGUGUCUCAUGUUUUCCAUUACUACCGUUGCUUCUCCUGUGUUGCACACCAACUGCUUGCUCUUUUGUCUGAACAACCUUGAUGUUAACCUUAGGGUGUAGCUGCUUGUGUUGGCUCAACUUAGCAAUCGGUCAUUCUCCUAGAAAGGACUUCCGAUUUACCAAGCUAGAUAUUUUUUCUGCACAGUGGGUGCUUGUUGUUGUGCCUCCUGCCAUAAUUACCUCUUGUCUUGAUGCUUCAAACUACACCAUCAUUGCCACCAUAAACUCCUAUUGCACCUUCUCACACAAUUCUUAGGAUUUAUUGGAUGCCUAUUUCCCUGGCACUAUGAACUCCUAUUGCACCGACUGUAGAUGUUGCUCUUGUUAAUUUGGUGUUCGAGGACACAACUUUAUGCCGUGGUUCUUUUGAUGGUUGGUGAGCCAACUUUUGUGUUAGCUGCUCAUAGUGCUUGACCAGUGAGACACCGCCCGUGCUCUACUUGUGCUUCUUUUGCGAUCGUUCGCAAGAACAAAUGCAAGCAAUGCGUUUUAUGCAUCAUAAUGGAAGAAAAAUGUUGGCUCAACAUCUACAGUCCUGCUACUCCCUCUUACCUAUCAACAAGCCAGCAGUUUAGCUGCAUUUUCCUACCUCUUCAUGUCUCUAUAUCUCUCUCCACUGUCAGGUCCUCAACAACAUAUUUGCUGCUUUGUCUUACAUCUUCUCUUGAUUCUUGCUCGCAGUGCUUUGGCUGUAGAAUUUUGCAUGCAGGACAUUGAUAAGUGACUUAAUUUUAGUUCUUAUUUUACUUUGUUGGUUUUCUUCUCACCAGUCUUGUGUUUUAGGUGUUGUCUUUGUUCUGCAUUUACUCUCAAUAUGGCUACUUUGUUAUAUGUUUCAUUAAUGCAUGUUCUCAAUCAUGUGAAGAACAUAAAUGCAACUUGUUCCUAGAAGAAUUCGUCUGGUUUAUGAAUAUUGGAUGGUAAAGACUGGUCCAUGAGUGUAAAUAGCGGAGUUAAUACUAUGGUUUCAACUCCGGUAAUCGAAUUCCUCGUUCAUUGAGUUACUUCUUUUUCUCGUCCAAAUUUGUCCUUAGAUCAUCCUUACAAAUAUUUUGUAUGUUUGUAAGUCUCGAUACUGAUUCCAUCAACAUAAUAUAAGAGCAUAGACUUCCUUACAAGAGCCAAACUCCCCCAGCAAGGAAGAGGACCAACUUAAAGACAGAAGAAUCAUCAUAGGUAGAAAUCGGAG